rnacentral:rRNA from 1 species
GAUGAACGCUGGCGGCGUGCCUAAUACAUGCAAGUCGAGCGAACAGACGAGGAGCUUGCUCCUCUGACGUUAGCGGCGGACGGGUGAGUAACACGUGGAUAACCUACCUAUAAGACUGGGAUAACUUCGGGAAACCGGAGCUAAUACCGGAUAAUAUAUUGAACCGCAUGGUUCAAUAGUGAAAGACGGUUUUGCUGUCACUUAUAGAUGGAUCCGCGCCGCAUUAGCUAGUUGGUAAGGUAACGGCUUGCCAAGGCGACGAUGCGUAGCCGACCUGAGAGGGUGAUCGGCCACCCUGGAACUGAGACACGGUCCAGACUCCUACGGGAGGCAGCAGUAGGGAAUCUUCCGCAAUGGGCGAAAGCCUGACGGAGCAACGCCGCGUGAGUGAUGAAGGUCUUCGGAUCGUAAAACUCUGUUAUUAGGGAAGAACAAAUGUGUAAGUAACUAUGCACGUCUUGACGGUACCUAAUCAGAAAGCCACGGCUAACUACGUG